AGCGACCAUACAGACUGCGUGCUUGCACGCAAGGCCGAAUGGGCAUUUGACAACCAAGCCUGCAUGAGUAAGCAGGGCGAUAGCCCGGAUUACGAAUGCAGGCGACAACUGCGAGAGUGCCGCAGGCACGGAGCGGUUG
rnacentral:sRNA from 1 species